rnacentral:rRNA from 2 species
AGCGUAUACUAAAAUUGUUGCGGUUAAAAAGCUCGUAGUUGCAUUUGUGCUGCGCGCUGUCGGUGCACCGCAUCCGCGGUGAUACUGACACGUUUGCGGAGCAUAUCGUCGGUGAGCCGGCGGUCAAACGCCGGUUCAAUAUCAAAAUCCUAUCGCGAUGCUCUUCAGUGAGUGUCGAGGUGGGCCGACAAUUUUACUUUGAACAAAUUAGAGUGCUCAAAGCGGGCUCAAAAUGCUGCUUGAAUAUUUCGUGCAUGGAAUAAUAGAAUAUGAUCUCGGUUCUAUUUUGUUGGUUUUCAGAACUCCGAGGUAAUGAUUAAUAGGGAUAACUGGGGGCAUUCGUAUUGCGACGUUAGAGGUGAAAUUCUUGGAUCGUCGCAAGACGAACAUCAGCGAAAGCAUUUGCCAAAGGUGUUUUCAUCAAUCAAGAACGAAAGUUAGAGGUUCGAAGGCGAUUAGAUACCGCCCUAGUUCUAACCGUAAAUAUGUCAUCUAGCGAUCCGCCGACGUUACUACAAUGGCUCGGCGGGCAGCUUCCGGGAAACCAAAGAUUUUGGACUCCGG